AUUGAACGCUGGCGGCAGGCUUAACACAUGCAAGUCGAACGAGUGGCGGACGGGUGAGUCAUGCUUGGGAAUCUAGCUUAUGGAGGGUGAUAACUACGGGAAACUGUAGCUAAUACCGCGUACCAUAGGAUGAGCCCACGUGGGAUUAGGUAGUUGGUGGGUUAACGGCUCACCAAGCCGACGAUCUCUAGCUGGUCUGAGAGGAUGACCGGCCACACUGGGACUGAGACACGGCCCAGACUCCUACGGGAGGCAGCAGUGGGGAAUAUUGCGCAAUGGGGGCAACCUGACGCAGCAAGGCCGCGUGAAUGAAGAAGGCCUUCGGGUUGUAAAGUUCUUUCGGUAGCGAGGCGUUAACUACAGAAGAAGCACCGGCUAACUCCGUGCCAGCAGCCGCGGUAAUAC
rnacentral:rRNA from 1 species